rnacentral:rRNA from 1 species
GAUGAACGCUGACAGAAUGCUUAACACAUGCAAGUCGAUGGGGAAGUGGUGCUUGCACCAUGGCAACCAUGGCGGACGGGUGAGUAACGCGUAAGGGACUUACCUGCAGGACUGGGAUAACAGGGGGAAACUCCUGACAAGACCGGAUAAUGUCAUGGAGCUGCAUGGCUUUAUGAUGAAAGGAGACGCCUGCGGAGAGCCUUGCGUCCUAUUAGCUAGUUGGUGAGGUAAUGGCUCACCAAGGCGAAGAUAGGUAGCCGGCCGGAGAGGGUGGACGGCCAAGAGGGGAAUGAGAUACGGCAGUGACUCCUACGGGAGGAAGCAGUGGGGAAUAUUGGACAAUGGGGGCAACCCUGAUCCAGCAAUUCUGUGUGCACGAAGAAGGUUUUCGGAUUGUAAAGUGCUUUCAGCAGGGAAGAAGUAAGUGACGGUACCUGCAGAAGAAGCGACGGCUAAAUACGUG